UAUCUGGUUGAUCCUGCCAGUAGUCAUAUGCUUGUCUCAAAGAUUAAGCCAUGCAUGUCUAAGUAUAAGCACUUGUACUGUGAAACUGCGAAUGGCUCAUUAAAUCAGUUAUCGUUUAUUUGAUUGUACCUUUACUACUUGGAUAACCGUGGUAAUUCUAGAGCUAAUACAUGCGAAAAGUCCCGACUUC
rnacentral:ncRNA from 1 species